rnacentral:rRNA from 1 species
AAUGGGGGCAACCCUGAUCCAGCCAUGCCGCGUGAGUGAAGAAGGCCUUAGGGUUGUAAAGCUCUUUCAGCAGGGACGAUAAUGACGGUACCUGCAGAAGAAGCCCCGGCUAACUCUGUGCCAGCAGCCGCGGUAAGACGGAGGGGGCUAGCGUUGUUCGGAAUUACUGGGCGUAAAGCGCGCGUAGGCGGCGCAUUAAGUCAGAGGUGAAAGCCCGGGGCUCAACCCCGGAAAUGCCUUUGAGACUGGUGUGCUUGAGUGCGGAAGAGGUGAGUGGAAUUCCCAGUGUAGAGGUGAAAUUCGUAGAUAUUGGGAAGAACACCAGUGGCGAAGGCGGCUCACUGGUCCGUAACUGACGCUGAGGUGCGAAAGCGUGGGGAGCAAACAGGAUU